UACGUAUGGUGCAAGCGUUAUCCGGAUUUACUGGGUGUAAAGGGAGCGUAGACGGCAGGGCAAGUCUGGAGUGAAAGGCAGGGGCCCAACCCCUGGACUGCUCUGGAAACUGUCCGGCUGGAGUGCAGGAGAGGUAAGUGGAAUUCUUAGUGUAGCGGUGAAAUGCGUAGAUAUUAGGAGGAACACCAGUGGCGAAGGCGGCUUACUGGACUGUAACUGACGUUGAGGCUCGAAAGCGUGGGGAGCAAACAGG
rnacentral:rRNA from 1 species